rnacentral:rRNA from 1 species
UGGAGCAUGUGGUUUAAUUCGAAGCAACGCGAAGAACCUUACCAGGCUUGACAUCCCGAUGCUAUUCUAGAGAUAGAAAGUUACUUCGGUACAUCGGUGACAGGUGGUGCAUGGUUGUCGUCAGCUCGUGUCGUGAGAUGUUGGGUUAAGUCCCGCAACGAGCGCAACCCCUAUUGUUAGUUGCCAUCAUUCAGUUGGGCACUCUAGCGAGACUGCCGGUAAUAAACCGGAGGAAGUGGGGAUGACGUCAAAUCAUCAUGCCCCUUAUGACCUGGGCUACACACGUGCUACAAUGGUUGGUACAACGAGUUGCGAGUCGGUGACGGCGAGCUAAUCUCUUAAAGCCAAUCUCAGUUCGGAUUGUAGGCUGCAACUCGCCUACAUGAAGUCGGAAUCGCUAGUAAUCGCGGAUCAGCACGCCGCGGUGAAUACGUUCCCGGGCCUU